rnacentral:rRNA from 1 species
GCAGGCCUAACACAUGCAAGUCGAGCGGUAGCACAGAGAGCUUGCUCUCGGGUGACGAGCGGCGGACGGGUGAGUAAUGUCUGGGAAACUGCCUGAUGGAGGGGGAUAACUACUGGAAACGGUAGCUAAUACCGCAUAACGUCGCAAGACCAAAGUGGGGGACCUUCGGGCCUCAUGCCAUCAGAUGUGCCCAGAUGGGAUUAGCUAGUAGGUGGGGUAACGGCUCACCUAGGCGACGAUCCCUAGCUGGUCUGAGAGGAUGACCAGCCACACUGGAACUGAGACACGGUCCAGACUCCUACGGGAGGCAGCAGUGGGGAAUAUUGCACAAUGGGCGCAAGCCUGAUGCAGCCAUGCCGCGUGUGUGAAGAAGGCCUUCGGGUUGUAAAGCACUUUCAGCGGGGAGGAAGGCGAUGAGGUUAAUAACCUCAUCGAUUGACGUUACCCUGCAGAAGAAGCACCGGCUAACUCCGUGCCAGCAGCCGCGG